rnacentral:rRNA from 1 species
CGGGAGUAACACCUGGAAACAGAUGCUAAUACCGGAUAAUAACAGAUGAUGCCUAUCAACUGUUUAAAAGAUGGUUCUGCUAUCACUCUUGGAUGGACCUGCGGUGCAUUAGCUAGUUGGUAGGGUAACGGCCUACCAAGGCGAUGAUGCAUAGCCGAGUUGAGAGACUGAUCGGCCACAUUGGGACUGAGACACGGCCCAAACUCCUACGGGAGGCAGCAGGC